rnacentral:rRNA from 1 species
AGGACGAACGCUGGCGGCGUGCUUAACACAUGCAAGUCGAGCGGUAAGGCCCUUUCGGGGGUACACGAGCGGCGAACGGGUGAGUAACACGUGAGCAAUCUGCCCUUCACUUCGGGAUAAGCCUCGGAAACGGGGUCUAAUACCGGAUAUGACUGCGCCAUGCAUGUGGUGUGGUGGAAAGUUCUGGCGGUGAGGGAUGAGCUCGCGGCCUAUCAGCUUGUUGGUGGGUAAUGGCCUACCAAGGCUUCGACGGUAGCCGGCUGAGAGGGUGACCGGCCACACGUGGGACUGACGACGACGGCCCAGACCUCCACGGGAGGCAGCAGGUGGGAAUAUGGACAAGUGGCGAAAGCCUGAUGCAGCGACGCCGCGUAGGAGGGAUGGACCGGGUCCGUUUCGGGGUUUA